rnacentral:rRNA from 1 species
GUGAGGAAUAUUGGUCAAUGGACGGAAGUCUGAACCAGCCAUGCCGCGUGCAGGAAUAAGGUCCUAUGGAUUGUAAACUGCUUUUAUUCGGGAAUAAACCUCUUUACGUGUAGGGAGCUGAAGGUACCGAAGGAAUAAGCACCGGCUAACUCCGUGCCAGCAGCCGCGGUAAUACGGAGGGUGCAAGCGUUAUCCGGAAUCAUUGGGUUUAGAGGGUCCGCAGGCGGGCUAUCAAGUCAGAGGUGAAAUCCCACAGCUUAACUGUGGAACUGCCUUUUAAACUGUUGGUCUUGAAUUAAGUAGGCGUUGGCGGAAUAUGACAUGUAGCGGUGAAAUGCAUAGAUAUGUCAUGGAACACCGAAAGCGAAGGCAGCUAACGAUACUUAUAUUGACGCUCAUGGACGAAAGCGUGGGUAGCGAACAGGAUUAGAAACCCCAGUAGUCC